CCUAAAAGUUAAGGAAGGAGCCUCAGUAAUGGAAUUGCUUCUUGACCUUUUGCAAACCUCAAUUUAGCAAAAUAAUUAGGAACGAUCUAAUAGUGAUGAUACAGUUUUUAACUGCUGGAUCAGCGACGCCUAUUUCAAGUAGUGAUACUAACUAAACUUUCGCCGGUCUUUCCUGUGUCUGUGGGCCUUCCUCCUGGUGUGACAGACUUGGGGAUUUCUUGUAAACUUCCUAACUAGUCUGAACCUUUUUAUUUCUUAUUGGGAACUGACACUUCCCUAUACUUUAAAACUCACAUAUGUAUAUUUUUGUACAUCUAUCUCCUAAUUCAAAAGUAAUUGAGAUUGUCAUUUCAUUAUAAUUCCGUGAGUAUCUUUAAAUUACUAUCAAAUAUGUUACUAAAUAAUUUAAUAAGAAUAUAGAAAUGAAGCCACUGAGAUCCUUAAAGUUGAAACCUGAUUGUUAUUAUAUUUUCAGUAAGGAUUUGGAGAUUUUUGGACAUUUUUACUCUCAUAAUCUAUGCAGUACUGAAAUGAGGUCUAAUAAAUAUAACCAAUACAUGUUAGGCCAUAGGUUCUUAAAUUUAGCUACCUGUUCACCUCAACUUGAGAGCUCUUAAAACCCUCAGUGUCCAGGUUGCAGCUCAGACUAGUUAAAUAACGUUUUAUCCCUAGAAAUGUUUUUUUUAAAGCUACCCAGAUGAUUCCAAUAGGCGUCAAGGCUAAUAGCCACUGAUUCAGGCCUUGCUAUUCAAAAGUAUGGUCCGUAAACCAGCAGCAUCCCUGAGAGCUUGUUGGAAACUAGAAUUCAGGGAUCUUUUGUAGACCUACUGAGACAGGCGCUACCUGUACCAACAUCUCUAGAUGAUUCCUGUGCAUAAUAAAAUCUGAUAAACAAAGGCAAUAGGUUAUUCU
rnacentral:lncRNA from 1 species